ACAGAGGGGGCAAGCGUUGUUCGGAAUUAUUGGGCGUAAAGGGCGCGUAGGCGGUUUGUUAAGUCGGCUGUGAAAGCCCGGGGCUCAACCCUGUAAUUGCCUUUAAGACUGCAUCGCUUGAACAUCGGAGAGGUAAGUGGAAUCCCGAGUGUAGAGGUGAAAUUCGUAGAUAUUCGGAAGAACACCAGUGGCGAAGGCGACUUACUGGACGAUUGUUGACGCUGAGGUGCGAAAGCGUGGGGAGCAAACAGGA
rnacentral:rRNA from 1 species